rnacentral:misc_RNA from 1 species
UGUACCUUCAAGCUCUGCUUGGUGUUGGGUGUUUGUCUCGCCUCUGCGUGUAGACUCGCCUCAAAACAAUUGGCAGCCGGCGUAUUGAUUUCGGAGCGCAGUACAUCUCGCGCUUUGCACUCAUAACGACGACGUCCAAAAGUACAUUUUUACACUC